rnacentral:lncRNA from 10 species
AUAUGACUUAGAAUAUGAUUGAAUAUGAAUACAUGAUUGAAGAUAUAUUAUAAAAUUGAGAUACUUGUUGCACCACUCCAGGCAUAUCAUGUGCACUGGCCCUGCUAGCUAAUGCUCUUCCCCCCACUACCAUCACCUUAUGGGUGGGGACUCUCGUGGAAAGGCUAGAUGAUGGAGUCACGUGCUCCCUUCCCGUUCACUAGCUGCUGAUUGGCCAACUGCUCCUGCCAGCUGUCCCUGCACUCCAGCUUCCUACCAUAUGCUCCAGAAUAACGUCUGGAAAGUGAGCCCCAUCCAUCAAGUUUGUCACACCUUGCACUCAAUCUGCUACCUUCUCUACAGUAUUUGUCCACGUCUCUGCCCUGCUUCAAAUCCUUCAGAGGCUCCCCAUCACCCACAGGGAUGAUCUUUCUGAAAUGGAUUUGGCCAUGCCAGUCUCCUGCCUGAAACAGCCCUCCUGGCUCCUUGUCACUCAAAGGAAAAGGCAAACUCCUCAAGACUGCACAUAAUGCCCACCUUCCCAACCAGCCUCUCCUACUGCCACUCUCUCUCCUACACCCUACCUUCCAAACCCUACUUGGGGUUCACCCUCACAUGCUGGAGUUUUCCCAUCUCUGAGACUUCAUUCAGGCAGUUCCUUCUGGCUUCGGAGGCUUCUUUGUUCCUAAAGUUCAUACUUUAAGACCUAGCUGAAAUAUCAAGGCUUCCUGGACUCUGCAGGUGACACGAGCCACUGUGCUCCUGGAUGCUUCAGAACCUGUGCAGAUCUCUGUCUUCACUCCUACUAUGGCAUCUCCUAGCAUGUUCUACACUGAGCUCCACUGGGCCUUGCAUGUCAGUAUCCCGAAUUCUGAAUGAAGCUUGGAACAUGGGAGGUGCAUCCACUAACAACAUGAAGAAUGAAGACAUGUAUAACAGAGUAGAUGGAAACCAUAUGGUAAAACCUAAAGCAAAAUCCACCCUCUAACCUUUCUGUAAGUGAAACACCCAAUUUUCUCGAAGGUGCAGUAAAAGAGCUAAAGCACAGGAGACUAAGUCAUGCAGGCCUAGCUUAGUGUUCUCCUGCCAAUGAUCUGCUGCAAAGACCACCAGGGACACAUCUGUAGUUGAACAUGUUGGGUUAUUCCUCAGCGCAGAGGGAGGAGCAAUGAGGCAUCUCUGAAAGAGGGUGUUAGAAAGAAUGUAUCACAAGAUUUGGGCUUAAGAUUGACUACCUUUGACAAAAGUAUGUCAAAAGCAAUACAUCUUACUAGUGGAGCGAAGACACUGCAUGCUGACAAAGGUGAUCUCAGAUGUGAGGUCGAUGGUGCGCCAUGCAAUCAGCUUGCUGAGUGAGCCUACUUAUGCCCCAUCCCGGGGGCCUAGGGUAAGAAAAGUGCCAAGCGAAGCUGAGGAUCAGACUAAAGCUGGAAGGUGUCAAGGCACAGGCUGAGUCAUCAGAACACCUUCCCUGAAUUGUGUCAAACAAGUGUACAUGUGCUCAAGUGUAUCUGGAUUCUGAUUUGGCUGCACAGUCACUGUUUUCCAGAUGUUUGCAGAAGAAAUAUGAGCUGGAGGAGACUCACUGAAAGCUGGAACUAGAAGGAUGCACACUGCUCAUCCAAGCCAAUUCACUUAUUUUACCAAUGAUAAAACUGAGUCUCAGAGAAGUCAUACGCUUGCCCAAAGACACAGCUUGUGGUGGAGGAGUCAACACCAGAACUCUGGUCCAGGACUGCAAAAAAACACUUAACAUGUGCUAAUAAUGAGGAUAAAAGAUACUUCAAAUUCUGGGAGUUCUAUAAUGUUUGAGCACAUAUACCAUUGAAUCCUUUUAAUAACCCAUCGCUUACACAGAUGAGGAAACCAAGGCUCAUAGAAAUAAAGUGCUUUGCCAAAAGGCACAAAACUGGUCAGUAAUAAAUCUGAUCUCCAGGUUCCCAGUCCAGAACUUUCUGCAGCACUAUCUUUUUGUUCCCUUUAACUACCAGAAGCUUUAACCCAAAAUGAGGCUUCAACUAUAAAAGCUAUUUAAGACCUUAUGGCUGCGUAUCUCUGCCCUAAGUUUUCUCUUGAUCCUUAUUUUAUAUUCUAAUGUUUAAAACUUGUUCCCCAAAUUUUUAAAGUUUGCAUUCAUUUUAUUUCAAUAAGCCACGCCAAAAUCUGUGUGUCAUAAGCUAUCUAUACGUAAAUAAAUGAACGAAUGAAUGAGCAAACAAACAAAAUCUUAAGAGGCAGAGUAACAUGGUGGAAAAAUACCAGGCUUACAUUCAAUUCAAUACCACUUUGUCUAUUGUCUUCAUCUUUGAGCCUCACUUUCAUUAUCUGUCAAACAGGUCUAACAAAAUUUAUCAUUAAGCAUUAUUAUAAGUCUAAAAAUAAACAUGGAACAUAUGAAGAAGGUUUGUAUGUUAUCAGUGGUAUCUAAAUUGGCAGCUCAUAGUAGUAUUACUAGUAAUAAUAAUAUAAACAAAGAAGCCUGAUUAAUGCAAGUGAGAUGAGUUAUUUGACUCCAGAAACCCCGCCUCCAGACAUGAGUUACGGCUCUCAUUGGGUUUUAUG